GAUGAACGCUAGCGGCAGGCUUAACACAUGCAAGUCGAGGGGUAUAGUUCUUCGGAACUAGAGACCGGCGCACGGGUGCGUAACGCGUAUGCAAUCUACCUUUUACAGGGGGAUAGCCCAGAGAAAUUUGGAUUAACACCCCAUAGUAUGUUAGAGUGGCAUCAUUUUAACAUUAAAGUUCCAACGGUAAAAGAUGAGCAUGCGUCCCAUUAGCUAGAUGGUAAGGUAACGGCUGACCAUGGCGACGAUGGGUAGGGGUCCUGAGAGGGAGAUCCCCCACACUGGUACUGAGACACGGACCAGACUCCUACGGGAGGCAGCAGUGAGGAAUAUUGGACAAUGGGCGCAAGCCUGAUCCAGCCAUGCCGCGUGCAGGAAGACGGUCCUAUGGAUUGUAAACUGCUUUUGUACAGGAAGAAACACUCCCUCGUGAGGGAGCUUGAUGGUACUGUAAGAAUAAGGAUCGGCUAACUCCGUGCCAGCCGCCGCAGUAACAC
rnacentral:rRNA from 1 species